rnacentral:lncRNA from 10 species
GUUAGCAAUUAUUAAAUGGUUUGUUAAAAAAUACAAUAAAAACAGAAUUAAGGUAGGAGAAUUGCUCACCCAGGUGUUUGAGAUCAGCCUGGGAUAACAAAGUGAGACCCUAUCUCUGCAAAAAAAUUUAAUAAUUAGCUGGGUGUGGAUAUGUGUGCUUAUAUUCCCAGCUACUGGGGAGGCUGAGGCAAGAGGAUUGCUUGAGCUCAGGAGCUUGAGGCUGCAGUGAGAUAUGAUCAUACCAUUGCACUCAUUCUAGCCUGGGCAACAAAGCCAGAUUCUUUCUCAGAAAAACAAACAAACAAAAACAAAAAAAAAACCACCCCAGAAAAACAAAACAAAACAAAAAACAACAAAUAAUUUGGGAGCAUUAGCUUGUUUGUAAAAUCACUAUAAAGGACGAUAAAAUGGUAAAAUGGUGAACUUCCAUGUGCUAGAAUUAAAGCCCUCCCAAAAUUGUGGAUAGAUAUUCAUGAAAUGGGGAAAUUCCUACAGAUUCAGAAGCAAAGUAGCUAGUCAAUGAUUCAUGAAUAAUUGUGUUAACAGCCCAUGCGGAUUCCCUGGGAACUCUCUACAUGCGAGUGUCCCAACAGGCUUCCAUCACCAUGAUUAUGUAAAGCAAAAUGAGGAAAUUCCCUGAUUGUUUCCAUAUCAGUUGGGCUUUAAGUCCUCCCUUGGCUGUAUUUCUUCUCCUUCACGGUAUCUUUGAUGAUGAUUUUAACCAAGUGUUACCUGUAUGCAAAUAUUUUGUACAAAUAUUUCCACUGAAGAUACAAAAUAAAAGUUUUUCCAGAUAAAAAGCUUCGUAGGAUUGGCCCAGAAUGGAUAACAUUUUUAUUUUGAGACAGGGGCUCACUCUGUCACCCAGGCUGGAGUGUAGUGGUGAUCACAGCUCACUGAAACCUCUGCCUCCUGGGCUCAAGUGAUCCUCCUACCUCUCAGCUUCCUGAGUAGCUGGGACUACUGUUGCCUGCAACUGUGUGCCUGGAAAUCCCUUUUUUUUUUGGUAGAGACAGAGUUUCACCAUGUUGCCCAAGCUGGACUUGAACACCUGGGAUCAAGCGACCCACCAGCCUCCACCUUCCUGAGUGCCAGGAUUACAGGCAUGAGCCACUGCGCCUGUAAUAACAAUUUAGGGGAUAUGUUAUUUACCUAUUGCAGCAUAAAAAUUACUCCAAAGCAUACUGGCUUAAAACAACAAAUAUUUAUUAUGUCAAAGUAGGUCAAAAAUCUUGGUGUAUUUCAGCAGAGUGUUUGUGGUUCAGAGUUUUUCACAAGGUGUUGCCUGGGCUGCAGUCACCUCAAGGCACAACAGGGGGAAGAUCUGGUUUCACAUUCAUUCAAGUGGCUAUUGACAGGCCUCACGUCCUCAUUAGCUAUUGGCUUGUUCCUUUCCAUGUGGGUCUUUCCACAAGGCAGCUUACAACAUGGCAGCUGGCUUCUCUCAGAGCAAGUCAGCGAAAGAGUGAAAUAGAGCAAGCAAGGUGGAAGCCAAACUGUUCAAAAUCUAAUUUCAGAAGUACCAUCCUGUCACUUUUGCUGUAUUCUAUCCACUAAAAGGAAGUCACUAGAUCCAGUCUACAAUCAGAAGAAAAAAUUACACACAGACAAAAAUUGACAAAUGAAAGCCAUCUUAGAAGUUGUCUACCACAGAAGGGGCAGUUGUUUUCCAGAAUUACCUCAAAGGAAAGCACAACAGUCAGACGUGAAAUGGAAACAGAAAAAUCUUCUGAAGCAGAAUAGUAACGCUGUGAAUUUAAAAGUAAUGGUUCAAAGAUAAUAAAUGUAAUCUGAUGACAGAAGCAAAGAGAGAGGAGCAAGACACGAGAAAAUGCUAUGCUGCAAUAUUUAAAGGUCCCAGCAGAAGAAAAAAGCAUCCCUCCUACCUCAUUUCUCCUUUCGGAGGCUAGCAGGAAAUUAAAAAAGGAAAGGAGUUUCAUGCAGUAUUUCUUACAGCAAAUUUCUCAGAAUCCAGAGAUACUUCUUUUCUCUGUAAUAAGUUGCUGCAGAUACAAAGGAACACUUAUGAUUGAUGACUAUCUCUGUUUGCAUGAGCAAUAAUUCCUGAACACACAGUUCUUGAUUAAAAUACAAAUGCAUUUUCAACU